rnacentral:rRNA from 1 species
UACAGAGGGUGCGAGCGUUGUCCGGAAUCACUGGGCGUAAAGCGCACGUAGGCGGCUUUGCAAGUUAGAGGUGAAAGCCCGGGGCUCAACUCCGGAAUUGCCUUUAAAACUGCAUCGCUAGAAUUGUGGAGAGGUAAGUGGAAUUCCGAGUGUAGAGGUGAAAUUCGUAGAUAUUCGGAAGAACACCAGUGGCGAAGGCGACUUACUGGACACAUAUUGACGCUGAGGUGCGAAAGCGUGGGGAGCAAACAGG